GUCUCUCUCACACACACACUUAUUCUCUCUCUUUUUCAAAGGUGAUCGGAAGCUCAUAUUCCAUGGGGAUUUUUUUCUCAAAACAUGAGACAGAUCUGAAUCAAAAUGGUUAUUCUUCACCUUGUCGCGAAAGAGGCCAGCGGUCCGACAUGGCGCUACACCGAGCUGCAU